AAGGUAUGCAUAAAGAAGUGUUAUGAAUUGCCCUUUGAGACUCUGAAGGCCAAAGAGUACCAGAUAAAUUGCAAGUCUGUUGUGUCCCAUAGCAGACUGCCUGAAGUUACAUUUAGAGACUGAAAUCACUGCACCUUAAAAACAAAAGAUUGAGCUGCACUAUAUUCCUAAUCUUUUAUCAUCACUAUCUGGAUAUUCCUCACAACACUGCUGGCUGGUAAGUAAUGCUCAUUAUCUUUAGAAGGUAGUCCAAAAUAUUGAGGUGAAAAGAAAAAUAUAUU
rnacentral:lncRNA from 1 species